ensembl:snRNA U6 U6 spliceosomal RNA
GUGCUCGCUUCGGCAGCACAUAUACUAAAAUUGGAACGAUACAGAGAAGAUUAGCAUGGCCCCUGCGCAAGGAUAUCAGUGAAUUUUAUUUUU